rnacentral:rRNA from 1 species
GAGCGGUAACAGGUGUAGCAAUACAUGCUGACGAGCGGCGAACGGGUGAGUAAUGCUUCNGGAAUCUACCCAAUGGUGGGGAAUAACCAGCCGAAAGGUUGGCUAAUACCGCAUGAGUCCUACGGGUAGAAAGCAGGGGAUCGCAAGACCUUGCGCCGAUGGAUGAGCCGAAGCCGGAUUAGCUAGUUGGUAGGGUAACGGCCUACCAAGGCGACGAUCCAUAGCUGGUCUGAGAGGACGACCAGCCACACUGGGACUGAGACACGGCCCAUACUCCUACGGGAGGCAGCAGUGGGGAAUAUUGGACAAUGGGGGCAACCCUGAUCCAGCGACGCCGCGUGUGUGAAGAAGGCCUGCGGGUUGUAAAGCACUUUUAGUGGGGAUGAAAAGCUCAGGGAUAACACCCCUGGGUCUUGACCUAACCCACAGAAAAAGCACCGGCUAACUCUGUGCCAGCAGCCGCGGUAAUAAU